GUGAUGCUAGCAAGAAGUCCUAGUACACCAGAUGCCUUGAAGCCAUCCUUCCAAGGAACCAGGAAGAGCUAGGAGGAAUAAGGAAGACUUCCUUCCUGUGAGUUAUUUCCCUACAGAACUCUGGAAUUUCUUAUGGAAUGGAAAUGUUGCCUUCUGCCCAGUUUCAUCCUGAGCACACUGCACACAAGAAUCAAGG